rfam:Trichosporon asahii var. asahii CBS 8904 unplaced genomic scaffold scaffold00105, whole genome shotgun sequence.
GGUCUAUUCGUCCAACGGUUAAGACGCCGGAUUUUGAGGCGCUAGCGCUUCGUUCCGGCAACCUGGGUUCGAUUCCCAGAUAGACCU